CUGAAACUCUGACUGCCUUUCUGAAGAUCUUCCACUGAAGGUGUAACUGGCACUGAGCUUGUGCACUUUAAUGGACUUAAUUGUAACCAUUAUUGUCAGUUCCAGAAUUGUUACUAGAAGCAUGAUGAUGCAGCAGGACACAGCAGAUGUGACUCCUGUUUCCUGAGCAGUAAGGAUGGAAAUGUUUUGCAGAUUUACAUGGUAUUGUUGCUCAUCUCUGUCACUGCUGCAAAUGUGGGUGUCAGACAUUUGAUGCCUCCCUCUGUUCUGUUUGCACACAUCUUUCAAAAUAAAAAUGUAUGAUUAAAGGGAACUAGAGAGAGAAAAGGGGAUGAGAGAGCAGCCAAAGCCAACAGCAGAAAGGAACACCUCUCUGAAACAUUCAGCUGCUCUAUGUGCAGUAAAAUUGCCAGUGAGGAAGAAUCACCUCAGAUGUUAGGAAACUAACGUUUAAUAUGGGAUAAACAAACAAAACAAUUUAAUUGUCUUUGCACUCAAAUUUAAAAUAAAUCAAAUAAAAAUGUAUGUUUUUUUAAAUAAGAGAUGAUACAUUUCAAGCAAUGCAGAUACACAUCAGUUAUUGAUGAGUAAUCAAAGAUUUGUGGUUGGUGUCAGUGUUUAAAAGCAUCUAAACAUCUGGAUGCUUAUCUGAAAUUUAUCUGAACCUUGAUUCAACAACAGUUAUUGCAGAUCUUGCAAGAACAGGAUUUCUUAGCACUUCUGCUUCUGGUUUCUGUCUGCAAUACUGAGACAGUAACUUUUUUGUUAGCACAUCUGACCUGAGCCAAAAUUCAAAAGUGUAGUUGUGAAAAAUGGAGAAAAAUCUCAUUUGAAUAUUUCAGUAUUUGAAAAAUGUUUGUAUUCUAAAAAUAGGCACGAGUUUGUGGCUCAAAGGAGACAGAAGUGGGCUUCCUGUAGAUGUGAAGGUAUCCACUGCAUGAAAAAGACUGCUUAUGUAACUUGCAACUAUAUAUUUCAUUAGCAGCAUAUCUGUGUUCAAUGUUUUCCAGCAAAGGGGUCUGAAAUCUCCCAUUGCAAUGAUUUGGCAAUCCAGCAGGGCCAUCUCCAUUUAAACUUCUCUAGUGGCAAGUGCAAACCCUAUUGCAUAGUGUUGCUUAUAUACAGUAUUAAUUCUCUCUACAUAAAUGUACUUCAAUGGCCUCACAGUUCUAAUAUAGGUUUCAUUUUGUAUGCAAUAGUUUAAUGAACUUUCAGAUAUUGUAAUUUAUGAAUCAUGGUUUUCUUUGCUACUGCUUUUCACUCCCUUGGUAUGUGUUAUUUAAUUUUAGAUAAU